GAUGAACGCUGGCGGCGCGCCUAAUACAUGCAAGUCGAGCGAACGGACGAGAAGCUUGCUUCUCUGAUGUUAGCGGCGGACGGGUGAGUAACACGUGGAUAACCUACCUAUAAGACUGGGAUAACUUCGGGAAACCGGAGCUAAUGCCGGAUAAUAUUUUGAACCGCAUGGUUCAAAAGUGAAAGACGGUCUUGCUGUCACUUAUAGAUGGAUCCGCGCUGCAUUAGCUAGUUGGUAAGGUAACGGCUUACCAAGGCAACGAUGCAUAGCCGACCUGAGAGGGUGAUCGGCCACACUGGAACUGAGACACGGUCCAGACUCCUACGGGAGGCAGCAGUAGGGAAUCUUCCGCAAUGGGCGAAAGCCUGACGGAGCAACGCCGCGUGAGUGAUGAAGGUCUCCGGAUCGUAAAACUCUGUUAUUAGGGAAGAACAUAUGUGUAAGUAACUGUGCACAUCUUGACGGUACCUAAUCAGAAAGCCACGGCUAACUACGUG
rnacentral:rRNA from 1 species